GCAUGGUUGUGACUGGCCAGCCCGAGGACAGCCCCGACGGGAGAGAAUUUGACUGCCUUUCUUUCCCGGUGGGCUUGCAGUCCCCGAACAUUUCAGAUCAGGAGUCCUCUUUGGUCACGGAUCAUGCCUGAAUCAAUAGUCUUGUACUUUUCUCCAGUGCUUUGCAUAACGUAAGCACUUUAUAGCAGUCACAACAACAAUACUAAUACUAUAAAAGAACUCUGAUCUAAUUGGAGUGGUCUCCCCUGUCAAUGUCACUAUUUGUUGUGUGUGACACCAAUUUCCCCUAGUUCCUCGGAAGAUGCUUUAGAAAUGUUUCAAUCUUAAAAUUCCCAAUCUUGCUAUGAAAAAACCCCCCAAAAAACCAAAACAUCUACCCAGAAUCACAGUUCUGCUUUAUCUAACGAAUUGCAAUAGUCCACCGCAGUCUGCCUUUUCCUAUCCCUGAGGUGGUGAAGGUGGAGUCAUCUUUUCGGAAAGAUAAAAAGAGGUUUGAUUCUCU